AAUAAAUGGAUUCUCUUCAGCUGCUGAAUAAUUUUUUCGCCUUUUACUGAAAAUUUCCGUGGAGAGGAACACUCUAAUGUGCCUAUAAAAAAUGUUGAAUGGUCUGUGACUUCAAGAUAU